GCGGAGCGAGGAGCUGACAGCAGAAGUGAGGCUUGGGAGCGGCCCGGGAAGCGCGGAGCGACGCUCUGGGUCUGGCGGCGUGCUCGGGAGCGCAGGGCUGGGCACUGCUGUUCUUCCGGUGGUGACUGAAGCUGUCCGCGUUCCUUGCACGGGAACACAUGUGAGCGCGAAAAUACAGAGCCGUCGUUGUGUUACAUCACGGGUUUUAACUGAGAAUUAAACAGCUUGGGUGGUUCUGGGGCACGUAGCUCCCUGAGAAGAGGUCUUCGUGUGGCGUGUGUCGGCUGCCUUGCAGAGUUCUUCAGACACUUGGGCGCGUGUUGCUGUUCUUUAUCCGUCGUCUGCAGAGAUCUGCGGAAGCCUCUGCUUGAUCUCUGAGGGCACGAAAAGAAUGAGAUCAGUGAGUGGGAAAGAACUGGAUCCGCCUGGGGGAUGCAGGAACAAACUGUUCUUCACACUCCGUUACGUGUCAUUAACUCGUGGGAGCACGUAGUGGUUCCCCGCGGGUGCUCGGUGCUGCUCGGCGGAGCGGCUAUGGGGCUGUGCUCUGCCCCUCCCGCAGAAAGAAAUGCAGCUUUUGGGAUUGUCCAGUCUGGUUACAAGCUUCUCUCAGUGUCCAUACCCAAGAAGGGCAUACUAAAACGUUUUUUUUUUCACUGAACACGUGUCUCUAAUGGAGCCACUAAAGGAGAAGUUUACAUGCUAGACACAUUUCUUAACUUUUUUUUUUUUUCCCCCUGGUAUUAUGCAUGGUACUGGGAGGAAAAUCCAUUGCAAUUUAUGUAAUUGGACCGGGUUGAUAAUCCAAAUGAGAUUUCCUUAUUUAGCAGCCUCUUUACGGAAGGAUCCACCUUUAUGUAGGUCGGGAAGUAAAAAAAGGCCAGGACCAGGCAUACGUCACAGCAAGUGAUUUUGCAAACUGUGUGUGAGGAAAGUUCUGUGUUUGCUGUUCUUUUGCCCUUUUGUUUAACAAAAUCCCAAUAAACGGGAUAUCUUGGUCCAGCCGUUAAACACUCUUUUGUGUAUGUAAAUAGGUAAGAUCCUACAGGAUUUCUCAGGAUUUGUACUUGAAGAUUUAUCAGUAAAGAUCCAAACCAGAAAUAUGAAAUUCAUACCUAGAGAAAAUGAGAUUGCUGCAUGGCUGACACAAGUGAAAUGAUGCAGCACUUUUCAGGGCAACAAAUGCCCAAUUUUACUAUUUAAAGGAGAAAAGUGAGUGAAUUGCCUUUUGCCAUUCCGCAUCUAAGACUGAAAGAUUAGCAGGAGGUGUGACACAGAGCAAAUGGAGGAAAACAUUUCAUUUGUUAUCUUCUAAACUUUCUUUUUCCUUUAUUUGUGAGCCCAACGGAGUAGAAACUAUGAAUAACUACACUGUAAAAUGGAUUUUAAAUAUUGGCAUCCAUUGUGCAAUGUGUCCUCUGACCAGCAUGUGGGGAUAUGCCCAUGUACUUGAAGAGAACAUUAUAUGCCCACUACAAUUUUAUACAGGGAAAAGUCACUUGGUGUAACUGGCUUAACACAUUAAAUAAAAAAUAUAUAAAGCAUGAAACAACAUACAGUGUUUCACAAAUCUCAAUUUCCUUCUGCAAUAUACAUAGCUAUUUUAUUUUAAAGAAUUAUAUUAAUCCUAACAUUAGGUUACUGUAAACUGAAUAAUUCAAGUGUGUCUUAAAAUAAAGUACAAGCCAUAUUUUUAUUCCACUUAUCAUUCUUCUUAGCAAAUUUGCUUUUUCUUUUUGUGCCAGAGAAGCCAUAUCCUACCUACCAUGCCUUAGUACCUUAUGGCAUCCCCUUUUUGGGACUGAAGGCACACAGGCAGUGUGGAGAAGAGAAUGUAUGCUGUGGUGCCUGGGCUCCCUGCCACUCAGUACAGCCCAUCCUGCACCCACCAGCACUAAACCUGCCACAAUGGGCUUCUGCAGAUGCAGGGCUCAGGGGAACUGUGGGGUGCUUGCACCUCAAAAUUCCCAUUGUCUGUUCUAAUACCUGCAAACAAAACCUUAAAGUCCAGUGAAAACAAGAAAUGUAAAUCUGCUUAACUUCAGGGAAGGAAUUUACUUCCUUGUAAGUACCUUAGCCCUAAGGGUUUCCUGUUACCAUUGCACAGUCUUCUUAUUGAUGGUCACAACAAGCAGGAAACUAUUUUCAGUUCCCCUGCCAUUAUUAAAAUAGCAGUGCUUGGCUACUGCCUGGUGAUAGCUGUCAGCACAAUUAUGGUCUUUAAAUUGUACCCCAGUUAAUCCCCCACUGAGAUAAUACAAAAAUGGGAAAAUAAUCAUAUCUAGGGUUAACUAAUAUGUCCUUUAUGUUCAAUUACUAAAAAACAUCUUUCAGUUAAUAUACAUGUUUUUGGCAUAAAACAUAAUAUACCUGUUUUGGCUACAGCAUUAUGGCAUAAAACUCUCUGUAUUAAUAACAGAGAUGCACUCUGAUCUCUGCCUCUAUUUUUUCCUGGCAACAGCCAGGACAUACUUUAUAAACUUCAAUUCCGCAUCUCAAACCCCAUUGCUUUAUACUUUGAUGUGUCACAGACUACAGAAAAUAGAAAUGGGUGUCCAGAACAGCUGAUACAUGAAAUUCGAGAUGUCAGCAUUUUGCUGUGCGAAAUUACCCACCUUUGUGUGAAGCCUGUGUGUAGAAUAUUCUUGAUUAAGACAAAGAAAAGGCUUUAGAAUGCAAAUAGGCUUACAAACAAGGGAUGGUUAGAUCCUUUUAUGCCAUUUCAGUUUUACAUUUCAUCCUUAGAGUCUCCACAGUAUCCAUGUAGAGAACUCACACACACAGAUUAUGUGUUUUAUAUGCUCUGCUACUUUAUAGCUCAGCGUGUUGUAGUUCUCUGUCUGCCCACCCUUCUAACAAACAGUUCUGGUUAGCUCAAAUGAAAAUGUGCUUACCAGUAAGACCAAUCAUUUAUUAAUUGAUGGCAACAUGCUGAAACACACUGAACAGUUUUUUACCUGUUUGUGAGCAUAAAUCACUAUAAAAAUACUAAACUGACAACAUUGCAAGUUCUGUGGUUAACUCAAGGCAUCUGAUAAAGGGAGCUGGUUAAGGGAAAACUGAGGAGACACCUUCAAAUUAAGAAAAGCAAAACCAAAAACCUGCAACCCCAUUUCCCUCAUCCUCUCAGGCCACAAACUAUAGUUGAAAUAGCCAAAGGAAAGCUCUUUUUAGGGUGAUGCAUUCAAAGAAAAUGGAAAAGCAGUGACGGGUGAGGAUGAGCCCUGGACAUGAAGUCUAUAAUGAAGGAAACGAGCUGACCUUUGUGCAGGGGAUGAAGCUCUUUCAUGCACAAACCCUUGUAUGGAUCCAGUGUCCCCUGGCCCACACAAGCUGGCACUGAGUGACUCCCCUGUGCCCUAGCAGAAUGCCAGAGGCCACACAAGUGCUGAGGCACCUGCAGGUUGGGGCUGAAGAUGCUGAACAUUUUUGAGCAUCCCACACAGAGGGAUGGGAGUGCAGCCCAUUCCUACAUGUGGCAUAUUUUCUUCCAAUUGAAGUGAUGCUUCACACUAUUACAUGUAGUUUUCUGUUAUAAAUAGAUCAGCAGGCCAGGUGCUAACUGAGCACGAAAAUUCCCAUGUAAUCUUUUGGGGUUUUUGGUUUAAGAGAUGGAUGCUGAGGCACCAGUUCCCAUGUCAUUAAACUGGGCUUUUGGUCAGGCCAAAACUGACCUUUGAUUUUUAAGAUGCAAUCCUUCAGGACUACAGUAUCAAUAAUUGAGCAGGGUGUGCCCUGCAGAGACCAGUUUGGUAACACGCUGAACCUCAGCUUAUAAAAUAGCUGCAAGUGGUGCCACAUGCUGCUGGUUCUGACAUGACACUGUGUCUUUGCACGGCAGCAUGAUGAAGCACCCUAAAAUUAGCCUUCUUACUAUUUCGUAAAGAGCAGGCAGAAAGGUAGCAGCCUGCACUGAGGAGAACAAAGAGGCACAGGAGAGGACCAGAACUGAGGCUCACACACAGCCUGGGCACAACACUUCAUGGUGAGCACUCUUGGCUUCUUCACAAAUUUCCAUGUGGGACUUUAAGGUAAUUUCUUAUCCCAAUCACAGGCUGACCUGAUUAUGAAGAAAGAAAGGUGCUUGUGUAAACAGAGGUGGGGAAGAGGGACCUGUUCUUUCAGGGGGAUUGGGAUUCAGCAGAAGGGAAAACUAACUGUGAAAAUUACAUGGAUGGUCUCUUUUAGGGGUGUGGUGAGAGUUGGCAUUAAACCUACACAAAGUUUGUUGUUACUAGAAUAUAAGUGGGAUCGGAAGAAAAAAAUAGGCUGAUGUGAAAAUCAGAAAUAACAUGAUAAAAUCCCUUUCUGUUGAGCCAGACUAUUUUGUCCUGAAACUCUGUUCUAUCCCUGCCCCAUUUACUGCGUGUUAAAGUCCUUCGCUUUACAAGGAGAAAGAUUUGAGACCAAAAAAAAAAAAAAAAAAAAAAGAAAAAGAAAAAGAAAAAGAAAAAAAAUCCAACUUCCAGGCAGUAGGAAGACAGGGGUGUGGAUGUGUUUGUGUUUGGGAACAGAAACAGUGGAGGAAAAGGUCCCAGCCCAGAACAACGCUUGCAGAUGGGGAGAGAAAAGAAACAGCAAGGAAACAUUUGAAUAUCAGAGGGCACAAGAGGCAUGCCAUGAGAGGGAUGUGAGCACUGACUGCUGGGGGACACAUGUCUCUAGGAAGCAGAGGACACCCCCCAGCAGCUGGGUGGCACAGCCUGUGGCCCCUUGCCUAAACAAUUGUCAGCACGUGCUGUUUUCUCUAUUCCUGUGGUAGCACUCUGUGAAGAAUAACUGGGAAGAAAACACUGGGGCAUAAACUGUGCCUGGUACAUUCAAAUUACAUACAGCUGUUUCUGUUAUUAGUUAUCACUCAGAAAUAUGGGACUAUUUUACAACACCGGUAUUUUUGUUCAGUAAAGAUGAUUGGACAAUACUCUGCAGCUUUUGUAAUUUAAUUUGGGACAAUAUUUAUGAUUUCACAUGUAUUACCAAAACCCAGAGCGGCAUGAUUCUAUAAGAUCUCUUUUGUGCUCUUAGCAACCAACAGGUAUUUGGUGAAGCAUGGACUGAAAUGUGUCAAAGUGGAAGUGAAUCUAUGACAUUUCUAUCAACUACAGUACAGGACCUCUCUGUUCAUAAAGGGGAUUAAAUAUUCACAGUGGUCAAAGAGUCUUAGACAGAUGGAAAACUAAACUUCUCUUGCAGAUGUUGUUAAGGAGUUCCACAGAAAUUGUAUGUGAACAUUCAGAGCUUGGAGUCCUUGAAGGACUGUAACUCUUAAUUUCCUAUAAUGUAAGUCUCAACCUUGGCAUUAGAAUUAAAAAAAAAUAUUUGGAGAUAGGAGGUGAGCUGUAUGAGCUGAGCAAUCAAAUCCUCAUAACUGUGUGAAAAAUGGAAUCACUGCUCCUCCCUACACACAAUUCCUAUGUAGAGAAACCCAGGGACUCCUCAUGUUCCCAGAGGUCUCCUAAGCCAUUAUUUACUUUAUUAAGGAGAGAAAAAUUGCCACAAAUUAGUAAUCUUUUAUUUCUUUUUUCUGACACUGGAGUGGUGCAAAGUGCUGCCAAUUUUGUUGUUGAUUUUUUAGUAUGAUUGAUUUGGAUGUUCCUAUUUCACUGCAGAAGACUUUGGGUCAGUAUUUUUGGGGUAAUGUUUCUUUGUUUAUUUGGUCUACCAGCAUAGAACAAACUGCUUCCAUUUAGAAUGUCAAGCUUGAAAGGGGAAUCCAGAGCAACUGUAUAUCUUUUGGAAGCAGAAACAGUAGAGCAGCCACUUGUGCCAAGCCUCCAUUGCAUUUAGCUGUGCCUUUUUCUUGGAUAGGAAAGGAGGCAGCAGUGAUUCAUCACCUAUGUCUGCCUGAUGAAGGCUUUCUUGCUGUUAAUGUCAGCAAGUCACCAGGACACCAAUAAAUAGGAUCACUGGUCCCAGUCAGAAAUUAUCAUUUCAGAGGCACUGGAUACUCCCCACUUUACACAUAUAUACUUACUUUCAUAGAAAAUAGUACAAAGAUAUUUUCAGCUCGUGGUCAAGCAAAAUUUUCAGCUCCAAGAGCGGCAAAAUUAUGCCUAGAAUACACAGAAUGAAUUUGAGAGGAGCCCUAGACCUUGAGAGCCUGGAAAUUUAAGUGAGAUUGUUCCUGAGACUGUCUCAGGAAAAGACAGAACAUUUCAAGAGUAUCCAACUGACACAGCAGCUUCUGUUCACCAUGGCCCAGUGGAGACCUCCAAAACCAGGAAGAUUACAGGAAAGCCAGCUUGAAACACCAAUCUCCUCAGAAAACAAUCACACAUAAUAUUUUAGCCAGUAGACUUGUCAAAGAAUAUUGUGUCCAAAUGUGAUAUAACCUCUGCAAAUACAAACAAUUCAAUACAAAUACUAUUAGGUGCUUCUAGCUUGUAGCAAACUCAGCCAGGCAAACUGUCUUUUUAACAGACAGUAUCAAUAUUACAAAUUAAAUUCCUCUGAUUAUAACUUUUCUUUUUUUUUUUUUUUUUUAAUAAAAUGAAGGAAAGGAAUGCUUAUUUGUCUGAUGAACAAGUGGUUUCUUUGUAGCAAGCAGCAUUAGUUUAAAAAUCCCUUUUCUUAGAGGCAAAGGAUGUGGUCCUUAUCAUUUUCCCUGACCUCUUCAAGUUUGAGUUUCUAAAUAGUUCAUCACCAUAAAAAACCUGUUUGUGUUGUCUUCUGUGUUUAUAAUAACCACAAGCAUUAAAAUAGUCUGUUCAUAACUAUAAUAGUCCUGCAGAAUUAUAAUGGGCAAGAACCUAGAAAUGUUCCAUUUAUAGCCAUUACAAACAAUUGUGAUUUCCAGUGUGUUGUAUCAGCAAUGACCCCUCAAGAAUCCAGUAUUUGGGAUUAAAGUGUCUGGACAUUUUCAAGUC
ensembl:lncRNA